GGUUCAAUGGUCUAGUGGUUAUGAUUUCUGUCUCACAUUUGUUGAUCACAGAAGGUCUCCAGUUCGAUCCUGGAUUGAACCA